rnacentral:rRNA from 1 species
CAGUAGCCGCGGGAAUACGAAGGGGGCUAGCGUUGCUCGGAAUGACUGGGCGUAAAGGGCGCGUAGGCGGCACAGACAGUCAGAAGUGAAAUUCCUGGGCUCAACCUGGGGACUGCUUUUGAUACGCCUGAGCUAGAGUGGAGAAGAGGGUUGUGGAAUUUCCAGUGUAGAGGUGAAAUUCGUAGAUAUUGGAAAGAACACCGGUGGCGAAGGCGGCAACCUGGUCUUUUACUGACGCUGAGGCGCGAAAGCGUGGGGAGCAAACAGGAUUAGAUACCCCAGUAGUCCCUGUCUCUUAUAC